CGCCCGCUCGACUUGACAAGGUACAAAUGAUCGGCCACUUAUAUUUUGCGUUUAAAAAAAAAAAUUAUGAAUUAUUAAUUAAAUAUUGAAAC